GAUGAACGCUGGCGGCGUGCCUAAUACAUGCAAGUCGAGCGAACAGACGAGGAGCUUGCUCCUCUGACGUUAGCGGCGGACGGGUGAGUAACACGUGGAUAACCUACCUAUAAGACUGGGAUAACUUCGGGAAACCGGAGCUAAUACCGGAUAAUAUAUUGAACCGCAUGGUUCAAUAGUGAAAGACGGUUUUGCUGUAACUUAUAGAUGGAUCCGCGCCGCAUUAGCUAGUUGGUAAGGUAACGGCUUACCAAGGCAACGAUGCGUAGCCGACCUGAGAGGGUGAUCGGCCACACUGGAACUGAGACACGGUCCAGACUCCUACGGGAGGCAGCAGUAGGGAAUCUUCCGCAAUGGGCGGAAGCCUGACGGAGCAACGCCGCGUGAGUGAUGAAGGUCUUCGGAUCGUAAAACUCUGUUAUUAGGGAAGAACAAAUGUGUAAGUAACUAUGCACGUCUUGACGGUACCUAAUCAGAAAGCCACGGCUAACUACGUG
rnacentral:rRNA from 1 species